UCAUAGCGCAAGUAGUCCAAA
rnacentral:misc_RNA from 1 species